GGAGUCUGGUCCGUGUCUCAGUACCAGUGUGGGGGACCUUCCUCUCAGAACCCCUACCGAUCGUCGCCCCGGUGGGCCGUUACCCCGCCGGCAAGCUAAUCAGACGCAUCCCCAUCCCUUAGCGGCGAACCUUUGCUCCUUGUCUGAUGCCAUCGAAGGAGAACAUAGGGCAUUAAUCCGACUUUCGCCGGGCUAUGCCCUACUAUGGGGAAGGUUGGAUACGCGUUACUCACCCGUGCGCCGGUCGCCAUCGACAAUAGCAAGCUAUCGUCAUGCUGCCCCUCGACUUGCAUGUGUUAAGCCUGUAGCUAGCGUUCAUC
rnacentral:rRNA from 1 species